rnacentral:misc_RNA from 1 species
UCCUCUUGAUGCCGAGAAUUUGACGAGAUGGGCAGGAGCUUUGUUAGAGCUAUCUCAAUUUCAGAGCGUUCCAGAAUCGAAGAAGAUGAUUCUAGAUUCAAUAUCAAAGCUGGAGGAGGCACUGAUGAUUAACCCCAAGAAGCAUGAUGCUCUUUGGUGCUUAGGAAAUGCUUAUACUUCCCAUGCAUUUUUGAACCCAAACCAGGAUGAGGCGAAGGAAUUUUUUUAAUAAG